GGUGAGUGGCAGACGGGUGAGUAACGCGUAGCAACCUACCUUUCAGUACGGAAUAACGUCGAGAAAUUGUCGCUAAUACCGUAUACGUCCUCCGGGAGAAAGAUUUAUCGCUGAUAGAUGGGGCUGCGUUAGAUUAGCUAGUUGGUGAGGUAAUGGCUCACCAAGGCGACGAUCUAUAGCGGGUCUGAGAGGAUGAUCCGCCACACUGGGACUGAGACACGGCCCAGACUCCUACGGGAGGCAGCAGUGGGGAAUCUUGGACAAUGGGCGCAAGCCUGAUCCAGCCAUGCCGCGUGAAUGAUGAAGGCCUUAGGGUUGUAAAAUUCUUUCGCUAGGGAAGAUAAUGACGGUACCUAGUAAAGAAGCCCCGGCUAACUCCGUGCCAGCAGCCGCGGUAAUACGGAGGGGGCUAGCGUUGUUCGGAAUUACUGGGCGUAAAGCGUACGUAGGCGGAUUGGAAAGUCAGAUGUGAAAUCCCGGAGCUCAACUCCGGAACUGCAUUUGAAACUAUCAGUCUAGAGUUCUGGAGAGGUAAGGGGAAUUCCUAGUGUAGAGGUGAAAUUCGUAGAUAUUAGGAGGAACACCAGAGGCGAAGGCGCCUUACUGGACAGACACUGACGCUGAGGUACGAAAGUGUGGGUAGCAAACAGGAUUAGAUACCCUGGUAGUCCACACCGUAAACGAUGAGAGCUAGUUGUCUGCAGGCAUGCCUGUAGGUGACGCAGC
rnacentral:rRNA from 1 species